AAGUCGUAACAAGGUUUCCGUAGGUGAACCUGCGGAAGGAUCAUUAUUGAGUGAAGGGUUCUCUAAGAAUCUGACCUCCCAACCCUUGUGUUCUUUACCACUUGCUUUGGCGGGCCCGUCACUGCUGUGACCGCCGAGGGGUUAUGUUUUUAACUAACCUUUGGGCCCGUGCCCGCCAGAGAUAUCUGAACUCUUGUUAUGAAAUAGGUUGUCUGAGUUAUAAAGAAAAAUAAGUCAAAACUUUCAACAACGGAUCUCUUGGUUCCG
rnacentral:misc_RNA from 1 species